rnacentral:tRNA from 1 species
AAAGGAUAAUAGUUAAUAAUAACAUCUAAUUUGCAAUUAGAAAGCAUUGAUUUAUAAAUCAAUUUAUCUUA